ensembl:misc_RNA 7SK 7SK RNA
GGAUGUGAGAGUGAUCUGACUGUGACAUCUGUCACCUCAUUGAUCUCCAGGGUUGAUUUGGCUGAUCUGGCUGUAUGGACCGGUGUCCCUUUCCUCCCUCACCUCUCCAUGUAUGUCUCUCCCAAAGCUGAAAGCUCAGUUGAGGGGAAGGACCACCCCUGGUGGAGGAGGACUGCUUCUUUGUCAAGGGUAUAUGAGUAGCUGCGCUCCCCUGCUAGAACCUCCAGACAAUCUCUCAAGGCCCAUGGAAAUAUUAGUGGGCCAGUAGAAGAGUAGAAGAAAGGAAGUAAUAAUUU